AAUAACAAAAAUAAUAAUAAAUAAUAUUAAAUAAUAACCAUACUAACUUUCUGUGCUCUUAUUUUUAGAGGCCGUUAAACAAAGAGUACACAGGAACUGACCAAAAAUUCCCAACCUCAUAUGUAUGACAUAAAGUGAAUUACAUAUAUGACAUUUCUAAAAUGGUCCACAGCAACAGUGGAAAAUAUUGUGUCUACAGAAUCAUUGGACUCUGUGAAAGAAGUCAUGUCCCCAAAUGGCUCCUGCAGUUGGUUGAUUUUCAGUCCUUUACAUCAUGCCCUACUCUUCCCAUCCUACCUACAGCCAACUGGCGUAAGUUGGGGCCAACCAACUUCCUUUUGCAAAGAUUUUUCUCAGCAGUUUGAGCCAAGGUUAAAUUGCUGUGGAAUAUCAGAGCUGAGACUUGUUCCUUGGGAAAAUGGACCUGAGCUGUGGAGAAGAUGGUUUAUAAAGAGAAACAUCUUAUAAAGAUAAAUAGGAUUUAAAGAAGCACACCAAAAUUAUUCUCUGAAGAAAAAUGUUCUUCAUCUCCCUUAAAGAAGUCUGGGUUGGCAUCAGCUAUGUUGGCAAGCAAAUCUGCUACUUGACAUGGAAACAUUACUACUGUUUCAUGGCCUUUGUCUGGAUGCAGAAUCUUAUCUCAGUUCUCUAUUCACAGUUUGUAUUUUCUGAGAAAGGAACACUUUACUAAGUUUGGGAUAAAAAGAAGAAAUGCGAACUAUUUUUCUGAAAAACAGAGUCAUUGUAGAGAAGUUUCAUAUUUUGUUUUGUUACCUUAUGGAUACAUUAACGAGCUUUUCCAUUUUACUCAUAAAGCCACAGGUAGUUCUUUAUAGUAAAUGGACUGCAGCAGAUUUUUAAUAAUAUUGCAGUAGCUUAGAAUCUGUACCUCAAAUGUCGUCAUAUGAUUUACUGACAUAAUUAUCUACUGUACUGAAUUCAAAGUGAUGCACUUUUCGCUAUUUUUUUCCUUAAAAGGAGGUAGUAUGUCAAAAAGACAGCUCUUAAUGCAUGAAUUCAAAAUGGAACAAGUCUGACUUCUUUUAUUCCAAUGUAAUUUUCACCGGAAAACAAAUUCUCUAAUAUUUGCAGUUAUUAAUAUCUGCAACUUUGUCUCAGCAUUUUAUUUUAUUUGUGUGAUAAAUCAGACUGUGUAUUUUAGUAUCAAAGGACUCAAGUCUUUAGGAGAAUCAAAUUAGAAUUCUGUGCAGGUGAAUGUAAGAGAUGUGGUUACAUCAACAACUGCCCGGUCCCUUAAUACAGCAUCAGAUAGCUGUCAGAAUGGACUUUUAUGUUACUUCAAGCAACUUAUGGCAGAAACUGCAGGGAGCUUGCUUCUAGUCAGCUUUUAUCUCUUUCCAGUUUCUGACACACCUGUGAGACUGUUUAAUGAUGUUUUAAACAAUUUCUUCUAGAAAUCACGUUUUUGUAAUGCAGGUUUCUAAUAGAAAGCUUUAUCAUACCACCCCACACUCAAGCUCAGACUACAAUGAAUUAAACACUGGUUUAUAGAUAGCAAAAUCAGUAAAAUAUGAUUGUCAGGAUGUGGGGAUGAAUUUGGAUUUCUUGGUGUUUUACUACAUGUGAACUCACAGUAAACUUACAAGGUCUCUUUCCUCAUGUCUCUCUUUCCUUUUCUUAUAGCUUUUAUUUUCCUUUUAGAUACUCUUGAUAUAUGUUAUUCUGGAAUGAAAAUUCAGGAUUUAAGCACUAAUCCAGUUUAUGCUUAAAUUGUUAGGAACAUGAGAAUGACUCCCAUCAUUCUUGACUGUAUGGUUUGAAACUUUUUGCCUCUUAGGAAUCUGCCUGUCACAUAGACCUGGUUGAGUUUGUGUUUAUCUUUUAGGUAAUUUGAUGGGACUAGUCAAUCCAUUAGAAUGGAUUAAACUGUUUCCAGCACUCUAACCCAUAGUUCCAUAGAGGCUGAUUUUGAUCUGUAUUUUUCUGUCACAUUUACAUUCAGACCAUACCUAAUACUCAUUCUUGCUACUUCACAAAUGGUGAGUACUACAGAAACCAGAGGUCUGUAGAGUGUUAAUGCAGUGAAUUUGUAGAGUGUUGGCAGUGAAUUGAAGAUUAGCAAGAGGGCUACCGGUUCUGUAUAGAAGAACAAGCCUUAAUAUUUUGAUGAGUGCCAUGUGCUUGGUUACUUCUGUUUAAAUAAAGACACCUUAAAAUAUCA
rnacentral:lncRNA from 1 species